rnacentral:rRNA from 1 species
UUGGAGGGCAAGUCUGGUGCCAGCAGCCGCGGUAAUUCCAGCUCCAAUAGCGUAUAUUAAAGUUGUUGCAGUUAAAAAGCUCGUAGUUGAAUUUCGGGAUCAGAGUGUCGGUCGUGCCUCGGUACGCACUGGUAUUAUUGGUUCCUACCUUCUGAAGAACCGCGAUGUCAUUAAUUUGGUGUCGUGGGGAAUCAGGACUGUUACUUUGAAAAAAUUAGAGUGUUUAAAGCAGGCUUACGCUUGAAUACAUUAGCAUGGAAUAAUGAAAUAGGACGUUUGAUUCUAUUUUGUUGGUUUCUAGGAUUGACGUAAUGAUUAAUAGGGAUAGUUGGGGGCAUUAGUAUUCAAUUGUCAGAGGUGAAAUUCUUGGAUUUAUUGAAGACUAACUACUGCGAAAGCAUUUGCCAAGGAUGUUUUCAUUAAUCAAGAACGAAAGUUAGGGGAUCGAAGACGAUCAGAUGCCGUCGUAGUCUUAACCAUAAACUAUGCCGACUAGGGAUCGGAUGAUGUUAAUUUUUUAAUGACUCAUUCGGCGCCUUACGGGAAAC